CUUUUAGCUCUUGUCAUUUGUCAUUUAGACCCCAGACCUUAUGCUCAGUUUAACAUUAUAUGCUCAAAUGAGUGGACGGCAUAUCGCAAUUGCAUAUAAGAUUUCUAGUCGAAAACAUAUUUUUACUGCGCUGCAACUGGAAAAAUAGAUAUUACGCUACUAAACAAUGGCGAGCAACUGAAGUAAACAAAGCAAGAGAAAACAUCAAAUGCCUGUGGAGAAAAAACAACAACAUACAUGCACACGCAUACAGGCAAAACUCUUAUACAUACACGCAGCAACGCCACGCACUAAUUAUGCAGUCAUCAACGUUUUUAGCUUGGGCCUCGAUAUAAUAUCCUUAAUGACGCCAGCAAGGAG